rnacentral:rRNA from 1 species
GACGAACGCUGGCGGCGUGCUUAACACAUGCAAGUCGAACGGAAAGGCCCUGCUUGCAGGGUACUCGAGUGGCGAACGGGUGAGUAACACGUGGGUGAUCUGCCCUGCACUUCGGGAUAAGCUUGGGAAACUGGGUCUAAUACCGGAUAGGACCGCACUUUAGUGUGUGUGGUGGAAAGUUUUUUCGGUGUAGGAUGAGCUCGCGGCCUAUCAGCUUGUUGGUGGGGUAAUGGCCUACCAAGGCGGCGACGGGUAGCCGGCCUGAGAGGGUGUACGGCCACAUUGGGACUGAGAUACGGCCCAGACUCCUACGGGAGGCAGCAGUGGGGAAUAUUGCACAAUGGGCGCAAGCCUGAUGCAGCGACGCCGCGGGGGGGAUGAAGGCCUUCGGGUUGGAAACUCCUUUCGCUAGGGACGAAGCUUUUUGUGACGGUACCUAGAUAAGAAGCACCGGCUAACUACGUG